UACGUAGGGGGCGAGCGUUGUCCGGAAUUAUUGGGCGUAAAGGGCCCGUAGGCGGUUUGGUAAGUCGGAAGUGAAAUCUCCACGCUCAACGUGGAGGGUGCUUUCGAUACUGCUAUGACUUGAGUGUGGUAGAGGAGAAUGGAAUUCCUGGUGUAGCGGUGAAAUGCGCAGAUAUCAGGAGGAACACCGAUAGCGAAGGCAGUUCUCUGGGCCAUUACUGACGCUGAGGGGCGAAAGCGUGGGUAGCAAACAGG
rnacentral:rRNA from 1 species